rnacentral:rRNA from 1 species
AACACAUGCAAGUCGAGGGGCAGCGAGAUUGAAGCUUGCUUCAAUUGUCGGCGACCGGCGCACGGGUGAGUAACACGUAUCCAACCUACCGUUUACUCUCGGAUAGCCUUCCGAAAGGAAGAUUAAUACGGGAUGGUAUUGAGGCUUCACAUGAUAACUCAAUUAAAGAAUUUCGGUAAACGAUGGGGAUGCGUUCCAUUAGAUAGUAGGCGGGGUAACGGCCCACCUAGUCGACGAUGGAUAGGGGUUCUGAGAGGAAGGUCCCCCACAUUGGAACUGAGACACGGUCCAAACUCCUACGGGAGGCAGCAGUGAGGAAUAUUGGUCAAUGGGCGCGAGCCUGAACCAGCCAAGUAGCGUGAAGGAUGAAGGUCCUAUGGAUUGUAAACUUCUUUUAUACAGGAAUAAAGUGAGGUACGUGUACCUUUUUGUAUGUACUGUAUGAAUAAGCAUCGGCUAACUCCGUGCCAGCAGCCGCGGUAAUACGGAGGAUGCGAGCGUUAUCCGGAUUUAUUGGGUUUAAAGGGAGCGCAGACGGUUUGUUAAGUCAGUUGUGAAAGUUUGGGGCUCAACCUUAAAAUUGCAAUUGAUACUGGCAGACUUGAGUGCAGAUGAGGUAGGCGGAAUUCGUGGUGUAGCGGUGAAAUGCUUAGAUAU